UGGGGUAUCGCCAAGUCGGUAAGGCAGUGGACUUUGACUCCACCAUUCGCAGGUUCGAGUCCUGCUACCCCAG
rnacentral:tRNA from 1 species